GGGGAUCAGUGGCGAACGGGUGAGUAACACGUGGGCAACCUGCCCUCAGCUCUGGGAUAACUCCAAGAAAUUGGGGCUAAUACUGGAUAUGACUGCUGACCGCAUGGUCUGGUGGUGGAAAGAUUUAUCGGCUGGGGAUGGGCCCGCGGCCUAUCAGCUUGUUGGUGGGGUAGUGGCCUACCAAGGCGACGACGGGUAGCCGGCCUGAGAGGGUGACCGGCCACACUGGGACUGAGACACGGCCCAGACUCC
rnacentral:rRNA from 1 species